UACGUAGGUGGCAAGCGAUACUCGGAAUCACUAGGCGUAAAGCGCAGGUAGGCGGUUCAGUAAGUCUUUUGUGAAAGCUCCCGGCUCAACUGGGAGAGGCCAAGGGAAACUACUGGACUAGAGUGUGGUAGGGGAUACUGGAAUUCCUGGUGUAGCGGUGAAAUGCGUAGAUAUCAGGAGGAAUACCUAUGGCGAAAGCAGGUAUCUGGGCCAUCACUGACGCUGAGCUGCGAAAGCUAGGGGAGCAAACAGG
rnacentral:rRNA from 1 species